UUAGCAGGUUUGUAUGUGGGUGUCCAAAAUGGGCACUAGUCACGACCCAUCGGGUUGGGUCGUGACAAUGAAUUGGAGAAAUUCAUCACUCAUACACUUCCCAUACUAUUAAAUCGACAAUGCUUUUUUAAUUAAUAUUGAAGGGAAAAGGCCUUCGUGGCAUCAUCACCAUGGAGGACUAAACUUACUGUCCUAGAAAAGGACCUUCUAGCUAGUCGCUUUUGUUUGAGAAAAGACCAUGAAUUGGGUGGAACACUAUGAGAAGGAUUCGAAAGCUGCAAUGGCUGGACUAUUGAACAUGAUGUUUGAGGUAAUUUGAUUUUUAAAUGUUUUGUCUUUCUGAUAAACGAGGCAUCUUUUAAUCAUGGUGAAAGGGAAGCUCUGAGAUCUUGUAUAAAAGCUUUGAAUUUCUGGGCUACUGAGAUUUGGUGAAAGUUACAAGACUUCACCCUGAACAUAUUGAAAAGGAUUAUAGAUGAGCUCAUUAUCAAUGUAUGAUUGUUCCAAAAAAGGGCAUUAGUGCAAUAUGGAGAACUGUAGUAUUUAAGAUGGACACUUUCAUCAAAUGCUCCCUUUGAUGUCUGCCUAGUCUUCCUUCAGGAUUUUAAAUCUUCUGUCCUUCCGGUUAAAGAGGCAUUUAUUUAGAAUGGUGAGAAGGAAUCUCUAGAAUCUUGUGUAAAGCAUUGAACUUCUGUGCUUCUGAGAGUCGUGGGGAGUUGCAGCUUGGUUCACUCAUCUCCUGAUAGUGCCUUAGCUAGAAGCUUUGGGGUACUCAUCAGAUAUAUGCAACGAAAGCAGCUUCCAGACUUGGUAAACUGAUGAUGGAUGCCCUUAUUUUCAUGCAUAUGGAAUUGAGAAGAUCAUAUGGACCUGCAGAGUGGUUGCCUUCAAUGGAUCUAACGGGAUAAGCUUGAACUAGGCAGUUGAAGGACAUAGCUUGGUGGAUGGCUGUCAUACGGGAUGGUGAUGUUUGAAUAUUCACUGCUUGUAAACUUGAAAAUGUUGGAUGAUCUUCAAUUAUUGAGGCAAAUUUCCAUCAAAAGCUUGCAUAAUAAUCUUGCACAGACUGCCUCCUAGGCUUAGCUCGAGUGGAAGAAGGUUGUGUCGCAGGUUUGAGCCCCACACCAUGCAAAGUGAAGCCCGGAGGCGGGCCUAUUAUCCACUGAGUUUAGAAGGCUAUGAUUGGUCCAAAGAGCGGGUCACAUGCGGAUUUCUCGGUUAUAAAAAAAGAAUCUUGCAGAAACUUUCAAGAGCUCUUGAAGUUUUCAUGACUGGUGAUAGCUCGCCAAUAGGGAUGGUACUGUUUUCUUGAAUGACGGUCUCUUGGAGAUGAAGUGAAUUCUCCAAAUUCCUUAGCACCUCACCCGUAGAUGGAAUGUGCACCAGAUUCAGCUGAGUAUUUAAGUGCGUUUCUCCAAACUUGCUAAAGGAAUCUGGUCUUAUAUUGCCCAGAAAGUCGGGAUCUAUGAUAUGUUCCAUCUAUCUCUUCUAUUGCAAAUUCAUUGCCCAGUCACCUAAGUUGACCUUCUCCCUUGGAAGAGAUCGAUCUCGGGAAGACCUAGCACAAAGAAAUUCACAUUAAAUGGUCACCAAUGGAGAAAGAAGAAGGAUGGUGAAACUUUUUAAGAACUGUGAAAGACACUCACCAAAAGGUGAAGAUGUUUUUGAAAGUCUUGGAGCACCUUUGAAUGUUGCUAAACCCACAAAAGAUUCAAGUGUGGCUAUUUUUUGACUCGGAGCUGCUGCAGACGGAGCAAAAAUUGCUACCGCUUCAAGGAUAAUUUGUGUCGAUUUAAAUGCUAGAUGAUUUCAGUAAGCUAAGAAAUUUUGCGUGAAAAAGUUUGUGAACCCGAAGGAUUAAAGUAAACCAGGUCAAGAGGUACUAAUAUCUGCUUCUCCUAAUGGAUCAUUUUGCGAAAGAAGAAAAAGACAAAUGCGAGACAUAGUGGAUCAUCUUUUCUUGAAUUUUGAUUAAUUGAUUAGGUAACUGAUGAGAUGACUGAUUUUGCAAAUUCGAUCUGAGUGUGAAGUGUACUGGCCAUAUUGAUGUAUGUUUUCUAUCAUGAAAUUUCCUUAAUUGUACAUUAUUAUUUUUAUAAUAAUCUUAACGAA